CUCAGUUCUCUCUGACAAACGGG
rnacentral:piRNA from 1 species